rnacentral:rRNA from 1 species
GUGCCAGCAGCCGCGGUAAUACCGGCAGCCCGAGUGAUGGCCGAUCUUAUUGGGCCUAAAGCGUCCGUAGCUGGCUGCGCAAGUCCGUCGGGAAAUCCACGCGCUCAACGCGUGGGCGUCCAGCGGAAACUGCCUGGCUUGGGGCCGGAGGACUCGAGGGGUACGUCCGGGGUAGGAGUGAAAUCCCGUAAUCCUGGACGGACCACCGGUGGCGAAAGCACUUCGAGAAAACGGAUCCGACAGUGAGGGACGAAAGCCAGGGUCUCCAACCGGAUUAGAUACCCGGGUAGUCC